rnacentral:rRNA from 1 species
GACGAACGCUGGCGGCGUGCCUAAUACAUGCAAGUUGAGCGCUGAAGGUUGGUACUUGUACCGACUGGAUGAGCAGCGAACGGGUGAGUAACGCGUGGGGAAUCUGCCUUUGAGCGGGGGACAACAUUUGGAAACGAAUGCUAAUACCGCAUAAAAACUUUAAACACAAGUUUUAAGUUUGAAAGAUGCAAUUGCAUCACUCAAAGAUGAUCCCGCGUUGUAUUAGCUAGUUGGUGAGGUAAAGGCUCACCAAGGCGAUGAUACAUAGCCGACCUGAGAGGGUGAUCGGCCACAUUGGGACUGAGACACGGCCCAAACUCCUACGGGAGGCAGUAGUAGGGAAUCUUCGGCAAUGGACGAAAGUCUGACCGAGCAACGCCGCGUGAGUGAAGAAGGUUUUCGGAUCGUAAAACUCUGUUGGUAGAGAAGAACGUUGGUGAGAGUGGAAAGCUCAUCAAGUGACGGUAACUACCCAGAAAGGGACGGCUAACUACGUG